rnacentral:tRNA from 1 species
GGGGGCGUAGCUCAGUGGGAGAGCACUGCGUUCGCAUCGCAGGGGUCAGGGGUUCGAAUCCCCUCGCCUCCACCG